rnacentral:misc_RNA from 1 species
AAGUCGUAACAAGGUAUCUGUAGGUGAACCUGCAGAUGGAUCAUCUUUGUAUAAUCCAACCCAGCCUCACUCUCUCCGGGAGAGAGGUUCGGGGGAGAGGUGUCGCUCCGCACCUCUCAAAAAUAAACUAAAUUGGGCAAUCUUCCACAAACACGGUUGCAUCGGUCGGGUCUCUGCUGUCCAAUAGUGCCGCACGGCGCUAGGAAAAUGGCAGCGCCCCGACAAUUAUAAAACACGCUAAUCUUUAGUCGUUGAAAAAUAAUCUUUAUGAUUGACACGAUUCGGUAACACGGUCGUAUAAUCUAAAACACAACUUUUGGCAACGGAUCUCUUGGUUCUCC